UGACACGUAGGCACCAAGCGUUGUCCGGAUUUAUUGGGCGUAAAGAGCUUGUAGGCGGUUCGGUUAGUCGGGUGUGAAACCUCUGGGCUCAACUCAGAGACGCCACCCGAUACUGCUGUGACUAGAGUGCGGUAGGGGAGCGGGGAAUUCCUGGUGUAGCGGUGAAAUGCGCAGAUAUCAGGAGGAACACCAGUGGCGAAGGCGCCGCUCUGGGCCGUAACUGACGCUGAGAAGCGAAAGCGUGGGGAGCAAACAGGAUUAGAUACCCUGGUAGUCCACGCCGUAAACGUUGGGCACUAGGUGUGGGUCUCAACCAACGAGAUCCGCGCCGUCGCUAACGCAUUAAGUGCCCCGCCUGGGGAGUACGGCCGCAAGGCUA
rnacentral:rRNA from 1 species